rnacentral:lncRNA from 1 species
CUGUGAAGGAGGUGGAAGAGGAGCCAAAGGCGGGAGCCGCAGGUUUGCAAAGAGCUUCUUAUACUAAUUCAUUUGAUUCUCACUGUGACCCUGGGAAGUCAGUGAUCUUACUUCACCCCAUUUCACAGAUGAGGAAACCAAGGCAAGGAGAAAGAAAAUGACAUACCCAGCAUUACACAGCUAGUAUCUGAGUUGGUGACCUCAGCAUCCUCUGCUAACACUGC